rnacentral:rRNA from 1 species
GAAAAUUGGUCUAAUUCCGUAGGAGGUCAUACGAUGGCAUCAGAAUAUGACGAAAGGUCUAGCGGUGAAGGAUGGGGAUGCGUCUGAUUAGCUUGUUGGUGAGGUAACGGCUCACCAAGGCGACGAUCAGUAGGGGUUCUGAGAGGAAGGUCCCCCACAUUGGAACUGAGACACGGUCCAAACUCCUACGGGAGGCAGCAGUGAGGAAUAUUGGUCAAUGGGCGAGAGCCUGAACCAGCCAAGUAGCGUGCAGGACGACGGCCCUAUGGGUUGUAAACUGCUUUUAUAUGGGGAUAAAGUGAGUUACGUGUAGCUUAUUGCAGGUACCAUAUGAAUAAGGACCGGCUAAUCCCGUGCCAGCAGCCGCGGUAAUACGGAAGGUCCAGGCGUUAUCCGGAUUUAUUGGGUUUAAAGGGAGCGUAGGCCGCCCCUUAAGCGUGUUGUGAAAUGCCGCGGCUCAACCGUGGCACUGCAGCGCGAACUGGGGGGCUUGAGUGCACGCAACGCAGGCGGAAUUCGUGGUGUAGCGGUGAAAUGCUUAGAUAUCACGAAGAACUCCGAUUGCGAAGGCAGCUUGCGGGAGUGCGACUGACGCUGAAGCUCGAAGGUGCGGGUAUCGAACAGGAUUAGAUACC